CCAAUAGCGUAUAUUAAAGUUGUUGCAGUUAAAAAGCUCGUAGUUGAAUUUCGGGAUCAGUUGGUCGGUCGUGCCUCGGUACGUACUGGUCAAAUUGAUUCCUACCUUCUGACGAACCACGAUGUCAUUAAUUUGGUGUCGCGGGAAAUCAGGACUGUUACUUUGAAAAAAUUAGAGUGUUUAAAGCAGGCUCGCGCUUGAAUACAUUAGCAUGGAAUAAUGAAAUAGGACGUUUGAUUCUAUUUUGUUGGUUUCUAGGAUCGACGUAAUGAUUAAUAGGGAUAGUUGGGGGCAUUAGUAUUCAAUUGUCAGAGGUGAAAUUCUUGGAUUUAUUGAAGACUAACUACUGCGAAAGCAUUUGCCAAGGAUGUUUUCAUUAAUCAAGAACGAAAGUUAGGGGAUCGAAGACGAUCAGAUACCGUCGUAGUCCUAACCAUAAACUAUGCCGACUAGGGAUCGGAUGAUGUUAAUUUUUUAAUGACUCAUUCGGCGCCUUACG
rnacentral:rRNA from 1 species